rnacentral:rRNA from 1 species
CCCUUAGAUGUUCUGGGCCGCACGCGUGUUACACUGAGUGGAUCAGCGGGUCAGGUUGCGCGAAAGUGUUUCCUAAUCUUUAAAUCCGCUCGUGAUGGGGAUUGACGGUUGCAAUUUUCCGUCAUGAACGAGGAAUACCUUGUAAGCGCGGGUCAUCAUCCCGCGCUGAAUACGUCCCUGCCCUUUGUACACACCGCCCGUCGCUCCUACCGAUUGAGUGGUCCGGUGAGGCUUUGGGAUCUGAGCGGAAAGAGCGUUUCGCUGUUUCUGCCCGGAAAACUCAGUCGAACCUUAUCAUUUAGAGGAAGGAGAAGUCGUAACA